AGAGUUAGCUACACCUGGAACGUUUUUACUGACUGCUGUUCUCUCACCACUCUCAUUGUGACCGGCAACGUGCUGCGGACAUUCCUCUCCCGCUAUGUGGAAUUGGUGUAGCUUAAUGAGGUAUGGCGAAACGGUGUCUGUGUGGCAUAAAAGGCAACAGGACCUGUCGGCAAGAGAAUUAAUCAGAGAAACACUCAAGAGAGCUACCACGGUGGUGGCAGCAUCAUGCCGUGUGGAUUAUUUUUUUGAUAUUUUUUUAAACAAGGAAGCAGGUGGCAGUUGAU